rnacentral:rRNA from 1 species
GAGUUUGAUCCUGGCUCAGAGUGAACGCUGGCGGCGUGCCUAACACAUGCAAGUCGAGCGAAGAGUGGCGGAAUAUUGCGCUCUUAGCGGCAGACGGGUGAGUAACACGUAAACUAUUUGCCCUCGAAUGGGAGACAACCUGACGAAAGUUUGGCUAAUACCCCAUACAAUCCUCUCGGAGCAUUCCGAGGGGAUGAAAGGCCCGCAAGGGUCGUUCGAGGAGAAGUUUGCGGCCUAUCAGCUAGUUGGCGGUGUAACGGACCACCAAGGCUUUUGACGGGUAGCUGGCCUGAGAGGGCGGUCAGCCACACGGGGACUGAGACACUGCCCCGACUCCUACGGGAGGCUGCAGUCGAGGAUCUUUAGCAAUGGGCGAAAGCCUGACUAUGCGACGCCGCGUGAGGGAUGAAGGUUUUCGGAUCGUAAACCUCUUUCGAUAGGAAAGAAACCCCCGCUUUAAUACGGCGGGGCUGACGGUACCUAGAGAAGAAGCCACGGCCAACUCCGUGCCAGCAGCCGCGGUAAUACGGGGGUGGCGAGCGUUACUCGGAUUUAUUGGGUGUAAAGGGCAGGUAGGCGUCCCAUCAAGUUAGAAGUGAAAUCCUUUGGCUUAACCAAAGAACUGCUUCUAAAACUGGCGGGAUUGAGGCUAGAAGAGGAGAGCGGAAUUCCCGGUGUAAGGGUGAAAUCUGUAGAUAUCGGGAGGAACACCAGUGGCGAAAGCGGCUCUCUGGUCUAGCCCUGACGCUGAGCUGCGAAAGCUAGGGGAGCAAACAGGAUUAGAUACCCUGGUAGUCCUAGCCGUAAACGAUGAGCACUAGGUGUUGGGAGGUUACUUUCAGCGCCGUAAGAUAACUCGUUAAGUGCUCCACCUGAGGACUACGACCGCAAGGUUAAAACUCAAAGGAAUUGACGGGGGCCCGCACAAGCAGUGGAUCAUGU